GAGCCAGAGGGAGAGCUGUCUUGGACCUGGUCAUAGAAAAAGCCCUGCUUCCAGGAGACUCUGCUACAGUGGAGGCUACAACAGAUUCCCCGUGACUGCUCUGGGAGACUGCUUCAGUUUUACUGGCUUCGGACCUCCCCUAGGCUCUCCAGGUGGCUCUGUCUCAUAACCUGUCAGGAUGACUUCUCUGCAACUGUUUUAGAUGUCUCCAGUUCUUGAGAAACUCCUCCCACGACUAAGCAGUAAGUCUGCAGUUAGCUGGGGAGACACUGCACUGUACAAGCCCACCCUUUCCGUCUGUACGAGCAGCUCCCGCUCACCGUAUCGGUUCAGCCCAUGUGCUGUUUCUCCAUAUACUGCAACAUAAAGCUUGAUAAAGACUCUUUCUGAUAGUUU